GUAACAUUAGCUCAGUUGGUUAGAACAUGGUGCUAAUAACACCAAGUUCACAGGUUCAAUCCCUGCUUACU
rnacentral:tRNA from 1 species